rnacentral:rRNA from 1 species
AGACGUCUACAUUAGAUACCCGGGUAGUCCCAGCCGUAAACUAUGCGCGUUAGGUGUAUCGGUGACCACGAGUCACCGAGGUGCCGAAGGGAAACCGUGAAACGUGCCGCCUGGGAAGUACGGUCGCAAGGCUGAAACUUAAAGGAAAUUGGCGGGGGAGCACCACAACGGGUGGAGCCUGCGGUUUAAUUGGACUCAACGCCGGGAAGCUCACCGGAUAAGACAGCGGAAUGAUUGCCGGGCUGAAGACUCUGCAUGACUAGCUG